CUCACUAGGCUGGAGACCCCACCCUAGGGCUGCCGCAGCGCCUCCUGGGAGAUGCAAUUCCCACGCGUGCUCCCAGAGGCCUGUGCGCGAGCAGGUGCCAACGGUGCCAACGACGCCAACGGUGCCGAGGGAGCGGCCCGUGUCCUGCUGAACCGCCGAGGGAUCAGGCUAGCCCCGAGGCGGGACACGCAGCACCGCGUCCCCUGGCCACCGUAGCAGUGGUUUACCCUUGGAUCUGAGCUGCCACUCACUGGGCAGCGCCUUAGCUGCUGUAUUCACCAUAUGGAGGGAGGCGGUGGACAUCCUGCCCAGAGAAGCAGGACCCCCACAGGAGCGUGCCCACCCCCACCAAGCUAAGGAUGUGGUGGGCACUUGAAAUCUGAGACUUCCAGAAGAUCCUAGCCACCAGCUGGUACCUCGCACAGAAACCCCCGCAGGUCCUGCCAGCACCGGACCUUUGCUCUUUCUCCUGUAGCUUUGCUCAGGAGAUGGCUCAAGACCCAUCUGCACCAGAACCCUGGUCCCUGGGAGCUCUUUUGGAGGCCUGGCUGUCCCUGGGCUCUGCAAGAGCAGACAAGAUGUGGGUCUUGUUGGGCCCCGGUCAGUCCUGACCCGGGAGGAGAAGACUGGAGUCUGUAUAUCCUACUCAGAGAUGCUGUGAACAAAUCACUGGAGAUAGCCUGUGUCCCCUUAUUACCAGGAAGGAGUUUCAGCAGGAAAUUCAGCCUCGCCCUGGGGGCCACAGCCUCUGCCUGAUGAAUGUAAUUUCAAAGGGGAUGAUACUUCCCAAGCAUCAGUGUGUCAGACACAAGGCCAGGACAGAGAGUUAAUAAGCAUGGUGAGAGUGGAGAAAAAGCUGAGAUGUCCUCCAACAGGCAGGCCCUGGGGAAGGCUGCCUGAAGGAGGUAGCCCAGGAACCCUGCAGGACAUGGAGGACUGAGGACUGGGGUUUGCCUUUCAGAACCCAGUGGUCUGAUUUCCACAGAAAAUUCCUAUAGUAAUUGGAUCUCUGAGAUCCCCCAACAUGGGAGGGAAAUGGGGAUGUGGGAAGGGUAGCAUAAAGCUUCUCCUUGGAGGAUGUUGGGCUGUACCAGUAGGGCUCAGCUAAGAUGUCUUCUGUGGUCCCACUGGCUUGCCUCUCCUCCUUUCCCGCUGGGUGCAGAGACUGUGCAUGCUGCACCUUGAUCCUGUAAGGCUUCCUGGUAGCAGCUUCCUCAGAACUGGAGGGGUAGGCAGACUCCAUCCCAUCCAGCCAUACUCCCUGCUGUCUCUUGGUGGGGGUGCCAGGGGCAGUACCAAAGCAAAGGUGGGGUGUGGUGCUUGUAUCCCCUCAGGGGUUCACUCUGUGUAAGAAAAUCGGCCAGCAAUGUCUGUUGCUGUGUAACAAACUACCCCACAAUUUAGCAGCUUAAGCAUAUUACAGGUUCAGUGGUUUAGGAAUCCAAGUGGUUAGUGGUAUCUCUCUCUGCCUGGUAGUGUCUCACAGGCCACAGCUGUGUGUGCUCAGGCUGUGGUCUCAUGUGAAAGCCCAGCCGAGAGGAGAUGCUGUCACAUAUGGUACAGUUGGCAAGAUUCAGUUCCUCUCUAACAAAAUGAAUGCCAAAGGGCCUCAUUUUCUGCUUUUUGGCUGGAGGUCUCACUUAGCUCUUAGCAUGGGCCUAUCCACAGUGCACCUCCCAGUGUGAGAGGUGCCUCCCACCUGACCAAAGCACGAGGGAGCAAAUGAGGAAGUUUCCUCUUUAUCAUCCAUCUGACUUCAUAAAGGAAAUUCUGGGAUAUUUUGCUCUUUGUAGGAGUUCAAGCUCAUAUUUAAAAAGGGAGCAGGUCUAUACUGGGGUACAUAUACCAGGAAGGGAGACGUUGAGGGCCACCUCAUGGUUCAUCUCCACAACUCUUAUAGUGUCCUCAACUGUCUUGGACACAAUACUGUGUUCAGUAUCCUGUGUACUCGUGUCUGACCUUUUAAACAAAGUCCUGUUACAUCCUGGUAUAUGCAUAUGGAAGCAGGCACAUGCUUGUUAGAGCCGUCUCUGCUCUCUGUUGACCCUUUACCAGGGCAGCUAAUUUCCUUGAAUUUCCCUGUCUGGGUGACAUAGAGCUUCUAAAGUUGGGUUGCUAGGCUGUCCCUCAAGGAAGAAGCUUGGGCCCUCAGUUGAUACUUCAGAGGUCCUUUAGGAAUAGACUGGGAGAAAUGACGGAUGAGCAUGGGGAGAAGUCAGCCUUGGUGCCCUUGUCUGUAUCCACAGGGGCCAUACAGAUAAGGCUUGAGCACAGCAGAGCCCAUAUCUGGGUAGAGCACCUUUCAGCCCUCCUAGACAAGGUCAGGUACUCUCACCUCCCUGUGGUCCCUCAAGGUUCUCUAAGACUUUGAUGAGCCAUCGGUUCUGCAGCACGGUGUUCCAACAUACCAUGGCAAUCUCUGAUGUUUCCCGCCUCCAGGUUCAUACAGAGCUGGCACCCUUGGCUGUUUGCCUAUAUAAGUAAUAAACCUCAAUCUAUGAAGGACUGUUUGUACUGGGAUGGAACCUGGGUUGUUACAAAUGAGAAACAGUAUCCACUGUCACCUGGUUACACCGCUACCCUGGGCUGAUAUCUCUAUAGUGAAUCUCAGCUCCCACCUUGCCCUGUGCUUGCUAAAAUGAAAAACUGGAGCAUAAGACCUUCUGUACCUCCUCUUGCUCAGUGUAAAAUUCCUUUCUGCCUUUGUCCCCCUGCUCUUCUGAAUAUUUGAACCAGAAUCACUCUGGCCAUCCAUAGACUCACGUGGGACCUGGCCAGCUCCCCAAUAGGCCAGCAUGUGAAGAUGACAAUGGAACUGUCUUUGUUCCGCAUGCGUACAACAAAGUUGACAUUACCUGUAUGUAUACAGAAUGUACCAUUCUGUGCAAGGCCUCGCCACUCCACAUAGGUCAACCUGAGCACUGGAAAACACAGUAGAAGUGUAAAAUAGAACAGCUAUUGUGGGGAAUUCAGCGGUUUCUCAGUACACAGAAUUACCAUGUGACCUGUGUGGCAAUCCUAGGCAUAUGAGAGCUGUAGCAAUGCAACAGCUGUGUCCACAAGCAGAACUGACAGCAUCCCAAAGGUGGGAGCAACUUGAGUGUGAACUCUCAACAGGUGAACCCUCAAAAUAAAAAGAUACAAGCCAACAU